rnacentral:lncRNA from 1 species
CCCUCAACCAUUCUUAUUCAAUUUUAUGAGAUAUAAAAGAUUAAUUCAAUUAUAUAAUCUUUAUGACUGAUGUACUAACUAUUAUUUUUUAAAAAUAAAUGUGAAAUAAUAUUUAAAAGGAAAAACAACAUAAAUGGGCCAUAAAAUUCAAAAUAAUUACAAACAAGUUCAUACCCAAACCUAAAGUUAUUCCUGAAAUACUCAUUCUUUCAUAAAUAAUUACAUCUCAUACCACCCCAUUCAUUAUGGCUGAUAAUUUUCGCUUAACUGAUACUCAGUAUCAUAUAUUGUACUGAUAUCAUUAAAGC